UACGAAGGGGGCUAGCGUUGUUCGGAUUUACUGGGCGUAAAGCGCGCGUAGGCGGCUUUGUAAGUUAGAGGUGAAAGCCCGGAGCUCAACUCCGGAACUGCCUUUAAGACUGCAUCGCUAGAAUUGUGGAGAGGUAAGUGGAAUUCCGAGUGUAGAGGUGAAAUUCGUAGAUAUUCGGAAGAACACCAGUGGCGAAGGCGACUUACUGGACACAUAUUGACGCUGAGGUGCGAAAGCGUGGGGAGCAAACAGG
rnacentral:rRNA from 1 species